AACAAACGCUGGCGGCGUGCCUAAUACAUGCAAGUCGAACGGGGAAAGUAGCAAUAUGAGUACUAGUGGCGCACGGGUGAGUAACGCGUGGAUAAUCUGCCUUGAAGAGGGGGAUAACUAGUCGAAAGAUUAGCUAAUACCGCAUAAGACCACAAGAACUGAGGUUCAAGGGGUCAAAGGUUUUUCGCUUCAAGAUGAGUCCGCGUAAGAUUAGCUAGUUGGUGAGGUAAUGGCUCACCAAGGCAACGAUCUUUAACUGGUCUGAGAGGAUGAUCAGUCACACUGGAACUGAGACACGGUACAGACUCCUACGGGAGGCAGCAGUAGGGAAUAUUGCACAAUGGAGGAAACUCUGAUGCAGCGACGCCGCGUGAGUGAUGAAGGCCUUCGGGUCGUAAAGCUCUGUCGCAGGGGAAUAACACAAUGAAUGUACCCUGUAAGAAAGGAUCGGCUAACUUCGUG
rnacentral:rRNA from 1 species